rnacentral:rRNA from 1 species
AUUGAACGCUGGCGGCAGGCCUAACACAUGCAAGUCGAACGAGUGGCGGACGGGUGAGUAAUGUCUGGGAAACUGCCUGAUUGAGGGGGCUAACUACUGGCAACGGUAUCUAAUACCGCAUACCAUCGGAUUUGCCCAGAUGGGCUUCGCUUGUAGGUGGGGGAAAGUCUCACCUAGGCGACGAUCCCUAGCUGGUCUGAGAGGAUGACCAGAAAAACUGGAACUGAGAAACGGUCCAUACUCCUACGGGAGGAAGCAGUGGGGAAUAUUGCACAAUGGGCGCAAGCCUGAUGCAGCAAUGCCGCGUGUAUGAAGAAGGCCUUCGGGUGGUAAAUUACUUUCAGCGGGGAGGCGUUACCCGCAGAAGAAGCACCGGCUAACUCCGUGCCAGCAGCCGCGGUAAUAC